GUCACAAUUUACCCAAGAUGAGCACAACCAGGUCUGUAUGGCAGCCUCUGACGUGUCCAAGGUAUUCUACCUGAAGGGCUGAUGUGGACUGUCCUCUCAUCCUUCAUUGAUUAUCUGGUCAACUGGCAGAUGGUUGACCCCAUCCUGAGAGGGACCUUGUGGAGCUUCUGAGGCUACCAUCUGCACUGUGGUUCCUGUCUUUGUUUUCUCUAUUCCCUGGAUGCUUCUUCUACUCACCUCUAAGGUAGCUCCUGGGUGACCUUGGCUCUCCAGCUUUUUUGUUCUCCUG
rnacentral:lncRNA from 1 species